GACGAACGCUGGCGGCGUGCUUAACACAUGCAAGUCGAACGGAAAGGCCCUGCUUUUGUGGGGUGCUCGAGUGGCGAACGGGUGAGUAACACGUGAGUAACCUGCCCUUGACUUUGGGAUAACUUCAGGAAACUGGGGCUAAUACCGGAUAGGAGCUCCUGCUGCAUGGUGGGGGUUGGAAAGUUUCGGCGGUUGGGGAUGGACUCGCGGCUUAUCAGCUUGUUGGUGGGGUAGUGGCUUACCAAGGCUUUGACGGGUAGCCGGCCUGAGAGGGUGACCGGCCACAUUGGGACUGCGAUACGGCCCAGACUACUACGGGACGCAGCAGUGGGGAGUAUUGCACAAUGGGCUGAAGCCUGAUGCGGCACCGCCGCGUGCGGGAUGACGGCCUUCGGGUUGUAAACCGAUUUCGCCUGUGACGAAGCGUGAGUGACGGUAAUGGGUAAAGAAGCACCGGCUAACUACGUG
rnacentral:rRNA from 1 species